UACGUAGGGGGCAAGCGUUGUCCGGAUUUACUGGGCGUAAAGGGCGCGUAGGCGGCAAUUCAAGUCAUCUGUGAAAUCUCCGGGCUUAACUCGGAACGGUCAGAUGAUACUGCUUUGCUAGAGUGCGGAAGGGGCAAUCGGAAUUCUUGGUGUAGCGGUGAAAUGCGUAGAUAUCAAGAGGAACACCUGAGGUGAAGACGGGUUGCUGGGCCGACACUGACGCUGAUGCGCGAAAGCCAGGGGAGCAGACGGG
rnacentral:rRNA from 1 species